AUGGAAAUACUAUGGUUUGUUUGUUUGUUUGUUUUAGCUGUGUUUUUGUUGUUGUUGUUUUUGUUUUUCCCAAAUUCUGCUGCAAGCAAACUCCUGGAUAUGAUGUACCAAACUAGGACAAAGCACUCAAAGUGUUUUAAGCACAUUACUGCCAAUACUUUGCUGGCUCACUUUGCCACAUGCAAAAGGACAAUGAUGUGCUUACUUACUCAUCUCUCUAUUCUGGACAGAAGGGAACCCAUUUGGAUGCCACUGGUUCAUUCAGCCUGGUCAAACCCUGAUGUGAAAGAAUUAGCGAUGUUUUUCCCAAGCACAUCAAAGGCUGCAAGGUUUCCUACAGAUGACAUGUGAAGCAUGAUAUAGGAAAGGAUGAAAGGCAGGUGGUGGCAGAGCCGUUGCCUGCAGUCGUGUCCCACCUGCGUUACGUGGCCUCGUACCAGCCUCCGGCUGGGACUAGCAGUGGUGGUAGGUGUCUUCAGAUCAUCCUUGGUGAACCGUGUGAGAUCCACAAUUGUCCUCCUGGAAGCAAAGUACAGAACUGCACAAAUGUCUAUCAUUUAACACGGACAUUUUUUUUAAUCUUGUAGGGAUCCGAUGCGGUCCAUGAGUCACAUCAGGCUUGAUGUCAAUUAGCGCUUUGAAAUAGCUACGCUGCACCAUCCUGACUGCAUACAUUCACAAAGUCACAUCCAAAAACUUGGUUAAGAAGCAGAGUUGGUUAGUUUGAAAUAAUGGUUUAGUGACAAUAAGUGCCACUGUUUGUGCACUGCACGCCUCUCUUCCUGAUGCCAGAGGUGGGCCAAAGUUGCCGCAUCUGUACAUCGGGACUGCUGGGCUGCACUCACAGUAGCUGCCCUUGCUUGAUGUUGAAUGGAAGUCCGGACCUUUAACUCAAGCAAAGCAGAACAGGAGUUGUUAUUGUCUCCUCGUGAUGGGUGGAGGAAGAGGCUCCGCACAUCCUCUGCUGUGUUUAGGUGAGGAAAUAAAGCACAGAGUAACAACA
rnacentral:lncRNA from 1 species